GGCCCACCACCACAUGUAUGCUCGUCCUCGCUGUCGCCGCAGGGGAAUCCGGUGCGAAUCCGGAACUGUCCCGCAACGGUGUGAAGGCGUGCUUCCCCGGCCGGAAAUCGGCCCCGACGCACGCCCGGAGUCCGAAGACCUGCCGACGGUACGACCGCACCG
rnacentral:ncRNA from 18 species